AUCAGAUCCACCUCUCUUGCAUUGCAGGCAGAUUCUUUACCACUGAACCACUGGGGAAACUCUUAUUUUACUCAUAGCAUCACUAGUGUAUAUCCAACUCCAAUCCCCCAAUUCAUCCCAUCCCUUCUCCUUUUCCUCUUUGGUAUUCAUACAUUUGUUCUCUACAUCUUUGUUUCUAGAAUAGGACAACCUUUAAACCAAUAAAGGUCAGAACUUUUGAACAAUAAUCCCCCACUUGGAAGUCAAACAGGCUUAACUGCAAAACUAAGAAGCAGGAAACAAGCUCAUUAACAUCAAACACAUUUAAGAUUGAUGGAGGAAGACUUAAGGUUGCUCUUCAUUUGUGGCCUCUCUCUCUCAAACAACUUUUUUUGAACAUGAAGUUUGACCACCAAGACUCCUCUGCCAUGUACAGCUGUAUGCAGUCUUUCCUGGAACCUGUAACAGAAAGCUCAAGAGGGAAGAUUCCCUAACUACCCCGAGAAAGGAGUUGCAUGACUGUUCUGAAGAACUGAGACUACACAGUAGUGAAAAAAUCGAGGUAAGGAAAGCUCAUAAGAUAAAAUGGAUGAUCCACUUCAAAAUUUCCUAC
rnacentral:lncRNA from 1 species